AAUCUUUUGACAUUGCAGAAGCUUAUCGAAACAAUGCCACAGCGAAUGCGUGCCGUAAUCAAAGCUAAAGGCGGUCCAACAAAGUAUUAGAGUGUAUGACCUUUUUUUUUUGGUGGCGACUUUUUUUUUGACCAGGCAGUGUAACAUUAACAUAUAUAUUUACAGUUU